rnacentral:ribozyme from 1 species
AUCAUAACUGAAAAAAUGGGGAGGAAAAGGAGUUUUCUUCUUUCUCUUCUUCUUCUUCUUCUUCUACAUGUUUUCGUUUCCUUUUCUUUUCGUUUCUUUCUUUCUUUCCCCUUUU